UUUGGUUAAGUUAGAAAGGGCGCACGGUGGAUGCCUUGACACUAGGAGUCGAUGAAGGACGGGACUAACGCCGAUAUGCUUCGGGGAGCUGUAAGUAAGCUUUGAUCCGAAGAUUUCCGAAUGGGGAAACCCACCAUACGUAAUGGUAUGGUAUCCUUAUCUGAAUACAUAGGGUAAGGAAGACAGACCCAGGGAACUGAAACAUCUAAGUACCUGGAGGAAGAGAAAGCAAAUGCGAUUUCCUGAGUAGCGGCGAGCGAAACGGAACAUAGCCCAAACCAAGAGGCUUGCCUCUUGGGGUUGUAGGACAUUCUAUACGGAGUUACAAAGGAACGAGGUAGACGAAGCGACCUGGAAAGGUCCGUCGUAGAGGGUAACAACCCCGUAGUCGAAACUUCGUUCUCUCUUGAAUGUAUCCUGAGUACGGCGGAACACGUGAAAUUCCGUCGGAAUCUGGGAGGACCAUCUCCCAAGGCUAAAUACUCCCUAGUGAUCGAUAGUGAACCAGUACCGUGAGGGAAAGGUGAAAAGCACCCCGGAAGGGGAGUGAAAGAGAUCCUGAAACCGUGUGCCUACAAAUAGUCAGAGCCCGUUAACGGGUGAUGGCGUGCCUUUUGUAGAAUGAACCGGCGAGUUACGAUCCCGUGCGAGGUUAAGCUGAAGAGGCGGAGCCGCAGCGAAAGCGAGUCUGAAUAGGGCGUUUAGUACGUGGUCGUAGACCCGAAACCAGGUGAUCUACCCAUGUCCAGGGUGAAGUUCAGGUAACACUGAAUGGAGGCCCGAACCCACGCACGUUGAAAAGUGCGGGGAUGAGGUGUGGGUAGCGGAGAAAUUCCAAUCGAACCUGGAGAUAGCUGGUUCUCCCCGAAAUAGCUUUAGGGCUAGCCUUAAGUGUAAGAGUCUUGGAGGUAGAGCACUGAUUGGACUAGGGGUCCUCAUCGGAUUACCGAAUUCAGUCAAACUCCGAAUGCCAAUGACUUAUCCUUAGGAGUCAGACUGCGAGUGAUAAGAUCCGUAGUCAAAAGGGAAACAGCCCAGACCGCCAGCUAAGGUCCCAAAGUGUGUAUUAAGUGGAAAAGGAUGUGGAGUUGCUUAGACAACUAGGAUGUUGGCUUAGAAGCAGCCACCAUUUAAAGAGUGCGUAAUAGCUCACUAGUCGAGUGACUCUGCGCCGAAAAUGUACCGGGGCUAAAUACACCACCGAAGCUGCGGAUUGAUACCAAUGGUAUCAGUGGUAGGGGAGCGUUCUAAGGACAGUGAAGUCAGACCGGAAGGACUGGUGGAGUGCUUAGAAGUGAGAAUGCCGGUAUGAGUAGCGAAAGACGGGUGAGAAUCCCGUCCACCGAAUGCCUAAGGUUUCCUGAGGAAGGCUCGUCCGCUCAGGGUUAGUCAGGACCUAAGCCGAGGCCGACAGGCGUAGGCGAUGGACAACAGGUUGAUAUUCCUGUACCACCUCUUUAUCGUUUGAGCAAUGGAGGGACGCAGAAGGAUAGAAGAAGCGUGCGAUUGGUUGUGCACGUCCAAGCAGUUAGGCUGAUAAGUAGGCAAAUCCGCUUAUCGUGAAGGCUGAGCUGUGAUGGGGAAGCUCCUUAUGGAGCGAAGUCUUUGAUUCCCCGCUGCCAAGAAAAGCUUCUAGCGAGAUAAAAGGUGCCUGUACCGCAAACCGACACAGGUAGGCGAGGAGAGAAUCCUAAGGUGUGCGAGAGAACUCUGGUUAAGGAACUCGGCAAAAUGCCCCCGUAACUUCGGGAGAAGGGGUGCUUUCUUAACGGAAAGCCGCAGUGAAUAGGCCCAAGCGACUGUUUAGCAAAAACACAGCUCUCUGCGAAGCCGUAAGGCGAAGUAUAGGGGGUGACACCUGCCCGGUGCUGGAAGGUUAAGGAGAGGGGUUAGCGUAAGCGAAGCUCUGAACUGAAGCCCCAGUAAACGGCGGCCGUAACUAUAACGGUCCUAAGGUAGCGAAAUUCCUUGUCGGGUAAGUUCCGACCCGCACGAAAGGUGUAACGAUUUGGGCACUGUCUCAACCAGAGACUCGGUGAAAUUAUAGUACCUGUGAAGAUGCAGGUUACCCGCGACAGGACGGAAAGACCCCGUGGAGCUUUACUGUAGCCUGAUAUUGAAUUUUGGUACAGUUUGUACAGGAUAGGCGGGAGCCUUUGAAACCGGAGCGCUAGCUUCGGUGGAGGCGCUGGUGGGAUACCGCCCUGACUGUAUUGAAAUUCUAACCUACGGGUCUUAUCGACCCGGGAGACAGUGUCAGGUGGGCAGUUUGACUGGGGCGGUCGCCUCCUAAAGUGUAACGGAGGCGCCCAAAGGUUCCCUCAGAAUGGUUGGAAAUCAUUCGUAGAGUGCAAAGGCAUAAGGGAGCUUGACUGCGAGACCUACAAGUCGAGCAGGGACGAAAGUCGGGCUUAGUGAUCCGGUGGUUCCGCAUGGAAGGGCCAUCGCUCAACGGAUAAAAGCUACCCCGGGGAUAACAGGCUUAUCUCCCCCAAGAGUCCACAUCGACGGGGAGGUUUGGCACCUCGAUGUCGGCUCAUCGCAUCCUGGGGCUGUAGUCGGUCCCAAGGGUUGGGCUGUUCGCCCAUUAAAGCGGUACGCGAGCUGGGUUCAGAACGUCGUGAGACAGUUCGGUCCCUAUCCGUCGUGGGCGUAGGAAAUUUGAGAGGAGCUGUCCUUAGUACGAGAGGACCGGGAUGGACGCACCGCUGGUGUACCAGUUGUUCUGCCAAGGGCAUAGCUGGGUAGCUAUGUGCGGAAGGGAUAAGUGCUGAAAGCAUCUAAGCAUGAAGCCCCCCUCAAGAUGAGAUUUCCCAUAGCGUAAGCUAGUAAGAUCCCUGAAAGAUGAUCAGGUUGAUAGGUUCGAGGUGGAAGCAUGGUGACAUGUGGAGCUGACGAAUACUAAUAGAUCGAGGACUUAACCAUAUAA
rnacentral:rRNA from 1 species